ACGCAAGGGGAUUUACAGCCAUUUAGAGAGAGCAGAACCCCCAAAUACUUAGAAUCAAGCAAGUAUUAAAAAUCCUCGGGAACGCGGACACAAAUGGUGCAUGGCUAUCGUCAGCUCAUGAUAUAAGGUGUUGGGUUAAGUCCUGCAAUGAGCGCAAGCCUCGUGUUUAGUUGCUAUAGUUGAGUUUGGAACCCUGAGCAGACUACUAGUGAUAAGCCGGAAGAAUGUGAGGAUGACGUCAAGUCAUCAUGCCCCUUAUGCCCUAGGUAACACACGUGCUACAAUGGUUAGGGCAAAGGGUCGCGAUCCUGCUAGGGUGAGCUAUUAGUGAUCCCGCAAGGGUGUGCUAACUCCAAAAACUCGUCCUCAAUUCAGAUUGUAGGCUGCAACUUGCCUACAUGAAGUUGGAAUCACUAGUAAUAACCGGUCAGCCAUAUGAUAAUGAAUUCGUUCCUGGGCCUUGUACACACUGCCCGUCACACUAUGGGAGUUGGCCAUGCCUAAAAGUCAUUACCUUAAUCGCAAGAGGGGCAUGCUAAAGUCAAGGUUAGUGACUGGAGUGAAGUCGUAACAAGGUAGCAGUACUGGAAUGUGCAGCUG
rnacentral:sRNA from 1 species